UAAUAAGAGUAACAAGAUUAGUAUAAUCAAAAAGCAACAACAAAAACAUCUACAACAACAAUUACUUCUUUCCUUUUGUGGAUUGAAUGAAGGUGGAAGUUGAACUUUUCUUGGUGGCAUUUGGAUUGGAAUUGUAGGAUCUUUAAACCCUGGUGGCUUCUUUAAUGGUUGCAUCUGUGACAUUCUUGAAUCUAAACCAAAAAAAAAUCCCUUUUUUCCCUUUUCUGGAUUCUUUAUAUAAAUGAGUAAAUCUUUAUGAAUUAUGAAAAGUGAAAUGUUGCAUUAAAUCAAACAGGUUAUGUGCAUAAAA
rnacentral:misc_RNA from 1 species